GACGAACGCUGGCGGCGUGCUUAACACAUGCAAGUCGAACGGAAAGGUCCAGCUUUUGAGGGGCACUCGAGUGGCGAACGGGUGAGUAACACGUGAGUCACCUGCCCUUGACAUUGGGAUAACUUCCGGAAACUGGGGCUAAUACCGGAUAGGAGCUCCUGCUGAAUGGUGGGGGUUGGAAGGUUUCGGCGGUUGGGGAUGGAUUCUCGGCGUAUCAGUUUGUUGGUGGGGUAGUGGCUUAUUAAGGCUUUGGCGGGUAGGCGGCCUGACAGAGUGACCGGCCAGAUUGGGAGGGAGAUACAGACCGGACUCAUGCGGGAGGCAGCAGUGAGGGAUAAUGCACGAUGGGCGGAAGACUGAUGCAGCAACGCAGAGUGCAGGAUGAAGGCAGUCGGGUUGUAUACCGAUUUCGCCUGUGGAGAAGAGUGAGUGACAGUAAUGGAUAGAGAAGCACCGGCUAACUACGUG
rnacentral:rRNA from 1 species